GACGAACGCUGGCGGCGUGCUUAACACAUGCAAGUCGAACGGAAAGGCCCUGCUUUUGUGGGGUGCUCGAGUGGCGAACGGGUGAGUAACACGUGAGUAACCUGCCCUUGACUUUGGGAUAACUUCAGGAAACUGGGGCUAAUACCGGAUAGGAGCUCCUGCUGCAUGGUGGGGGUUGGAAAGUUUCGGCGGUUGGGGAUGGACUCGCGGCUUAUCAGCUUGUUGGUGGGGUAGUGGCUUACCAGGGCUUUGACGGGUAGCCGGCCUGAGAGGGUGACCGGCCACAUUGGGACUGAGAUACGGCCCAGACUCCUACGGGAGGCAGCAGUGGGGAAUAUUGCACAAUGGGCGGAAGCCUGAUGCAGCAACGCCGCGUGCGGGAUGACGGCCUUCGGGUUGUAAACCGCUUUCGCCUGUGACGAAGCGUGAGUGACGGUAAUGGGUAAAGAAGCACCGGCUAACUACGU
rnacentral:rRNA from 1 species